rnacentral:rRNA from 1 species
AUUGAACGCUGGCGGCAUGCUUUACACAUGCAAGUCGAACGGUAACAGGGAGCUUGCUCCGCUGACGAGUGGCGAACGGGUGAGUAAUGCGUCGGAACGUGCCGAGUAGUGGGGGAUGACGCAUCGAAAGGUGUGCUAAUACCGCAUACGUACUGAGGUAGAAAGUGGGGGACCUUCGGGCCUCACGCUAUUCGAGCGGCCGACGUCUGAUUAGCUAGUUGGUGAGGUAAAGGCUAACCAAGGCGACGAUCAGUAGCGGGUCUGAGAGGAUGAUCCGCCACACUGGGACUGAGACACGGCCCAGACUCCUACGGGAGGCAGCAGUGGGGAAUUUUGGACAAUGGGCGCAAGCCUGAUCCAGCCAUGCCGCGUGUCUGAAGAAGGCCUUCGGGUUGUAAAGGACUUUUGUCCGGGAGCAAAUGCCUGGUGUUAAUAGCAUCGGGAGCUGAGAGUACCGGAAGAAUAAGCACCGGCUAACUACGUGCCAGCAGCCGCCGUAAGAC